UGAGUAUAAAUGAAGGUUGCAAAUUUUGGUAAAUUUCCAAUCUGAUGAAUAUUACCGAAGUUUUCAUCCCAAUAUGACAUUGGUUGGGGAGGGAUGGUGGGAUGUCAAGAAGAAUCAGAUAUAUGUUGUUGCUUGCCAGAUAUUGAACACAACAAAUUUUCUGGCUAUUGCUCAUGUUGGAGGUUGUUCAAUUAGGUUGAGCUAGAGAUUUCCCAGAAUCUGGUCAAUCAGAAACAGGAGCAUGAUGGUGGGACAAAUUUGGGGUAACAAAACCAUAAAUCAUCCAGGAUACUUUGGCAGGAUCAUGUUUCAAAGUUCCAAUAAUAAUUUGCUGGGGGUUCAAGGUUUGAAGUAUGAGUACACUAAAAUUGACAGAGCAAAAAAUUUAUGCCAGAAAAAGAAGCCUGAAGGCAAGGGGUUAAUAUAUCCAAAUGUAUAUUCUAUUGAUAUGCAUUUUGGCACGUCAGUUAGAAAUUCUAAAGGGGUAAAGGCAUGGGAUUAUUCAGAACCCCUCUUUGUGGGUGAUAAGUUCUGUGACCCUUAUAAGUAUGCUAUACCUGUCUCAGAAAACUCAAGGUCUUCUGUGCCUAUCUCCACAUCAAUGCCAGCAAACUCUGAAGUUGAAGCAAAUACUGGUGAUAGUAGCCCACUGAAUAUCAGCUACAAGAUAAGCUUCAAUCUGGAACCUGGUGCUGAAUUUGGUGGUGUAUCCAUCCAUUUAAGUCAUCAUCAAGGAUUAAUGCACAAGUAGAAAUUUAUGCUGAAGGGAUUUAUGAUAUGAAGACUGGAGGCAUUUGUAUGGUCGGCCAAAACUAAGCUCCAUGAUUCAGCAAUUAACAGACGAUUCUAUGGAUUGUGAGAUUGUUGUGGAUCUGCAGUUUUAUCCAUUAAAUUCAGAGAAAGAAGGUCGUAUUAAUGGAAGCUUUGAAAGCAGACGGGAAAAUCUGACCCUCUUUACUUUGAACAUCCGGACUUGUCUUCAACUUAUAAUUUUUUUGAGGCAAGACAAUCAAUUUGGAGGAUGGAUUUGGAGAUCAUUAUGGUUCUGAUGUCUAACACAUUUUCCUGUGUCUUUCUGGGAUUGCAACUCUUCCAUGUGAAAAAGCAACCUGAGCUGCUUCCUUCCAUGUCUCUAGUCAUGCUUGUGAUUCUUAUUUUGGGCUACAUGAUCCCUCUUGUCCUAAAUUUUGAAGCUUUAUUCUUGCAAACCCAUACUCAGCUAAUUGUUUUGCUUGGAAGUGGUGGAUGGAUUAAAGUGAAAGAAGUGAUUGUGGGGGUGGUCACAAUGGUAGUUUUCCUGUUCCUAUUCUGUCUUCUCCAGUUCACAUGAUCAGCAAGAUUGACUGAUGAAGAAAAAAACGCCUUGUGGGUUGCUGAGAGGAAUUCUCUGACUUGAGACCUUAUGCUAGCAUGGUCCUUGAUGGUUUCCUUUUCCUUCAAAUCCUACUCAACAUGCUCAUGAACUCCAGAAAGCAAGUUCUCUCUCAUUCAUUUUAUAUUGGAAUCACUUUUGUUAGAUUACUGCCACAUGCAUAUGAUCUUUACAGAGCUCACAAUGAUAAACACAGUUUUGUUGGGUGAUAUGUUUAUGCGGUUCCUUGUGCUGACUUUUACUCAACUGCUUGGGAUGUCAUUAUUCUUUGUGGGGGUGUGCUGUUUUCUGCAUUCAUUUUCUUGCAGCAGAGGUUUGGCGGCCAUUUCAUCCUUCCCAAGAGACUUAAAGAGUUGGAAACAUAUGAGAAGGUGACAGUGGUUUGUGGUAAGUUAGAGGAAUCCAGUACUUAAUAAUCUGUUGUUUUUAUCUCUGUAAGCUCCAAUCUGGAUGCACAUGAGUUUGAAUAAUUCGGUCUUUAGUUUCUCUUGUACCUUUUGCUUGUAAGAGAAGUUGUAUUUCCUGAACCAUUAUUGGAUGCUGCUUUAUUUGACAA